AUUGAACGCUGGCGGCAUGCCUUACACAUGCAAGUCGAACGGCAGCACGGGAGCUUGUUGCUGUUGGCGAGUGGCGGACGGGUGAGUAAUACAUCGGCAUCUGUCUUGUCGUGGGGGAUAGCCAGGAGGAAGCCGGAUUAAUACUGCUUCCGCAUACCGGAUGCGAGUGGGGGCAGUUGGGGUUUCGACCUUGCGGGUUGGCAGGUGCCGAUGUCGGAUUAGCUAGUUGUCGGGGUAAAGGCCUACCAAGGCGACGAUCAGUAGCUGGUCUGAGAGGACGACCAGCCACACUGGAACUGAGACACGGCCCAGACUCCUACGGGAGGCAGCAGUGGGGAAUUUUGGACAAUGGGCGAAAGCCUGAUCCAGCAAUGCCGCGUGUGUGAAGAAGGCCUUCGGGUUGUAAAGCACUUUUGUCCGGAAAGAAAACCUGGGCCCUAAUACGGUCGGGGGAUGACGGUACCGGAAGAAUAAGCACCGGCUAACUACGUG
rnacentral:rRNA from 1 species